CAGCCGCCACGGUAAGACGAACCGUGCGAACGUUGUUCGGAAUCACUGGGCUUAAAGGGCGCGUAGGCGGGCUGCCAAGUCUGUGGUGAAAUCCUCCGGCUCAACCGGGGAAGUGCCAUGGAUACUGGCGGCCUCGAGGGGGGUAGGGGCGUGCGGAACUGUGGGUGGAGCGGUGAAAUGCGUUGAUAUCCACGGGAACUCCGGUGGCGAAGGCGGCACGCUGGACCUUCACUGACGCUGAGGCGCGAAAGCCAGGGGAGCGAACGGGAUUAGAUACCCCAGUAGUCCCUGUCUCUUAUAC
rnacentral:rRNA from 1 species